rnacentral:rRNA from 1 species
AUUGAACGCUGGCGGAAUGCUUUACACAUGCAAGUCGAACGGUAGAGGGGGCAACCCCUUGAGAGUGGCGAACGGGUGAGUAAUAUAUCGGAACGUGCCCAGUCGUGGGGGAUAACGUAGCGAAAGUUACGCUAAUACCGCAUACGAUCUAAGGAUGAAAGCGGGGGAUCGCAAGACCUCGCGCGAUUGGAGCGGCCGAUAUCAGAUUAGGUAGUUGGUGAGGUAAAGGCUCACCAAGCCAACGAUCUGUAGCUGGUCUGAGAGGACGACCAGCCACACUGGAACUGAGACACGGUCCAGACUCCUACGGGAGGCAGCAGUGGGGAAUUUUGGACAAUGGACGCAAGUCUGAUCCAGCCAUUCCGCGUGCAGGAUGAAGGCCCUCGGGUUGUAAACUGCUUUUGUACGGAACGAAAAGGUUUCUCUUAAUACGAGGAGCUCAUGACGGUACCGUAAGAAUAAGCACCGGCUAACUACGUG